rnacentral:rRNA from 1 species
GACGAACGCUGGCGGCGUGCUUAACACAUGCAAGUCGGGCGGUAAGGCCCUUUCGGGGGUACACGAGCGGCGAACGGGUGAGUAACACGUGGGUGACCUGCCCUCAGCUCUGGGAUAAGCCUGGGAAACCGGGUCUAAUACCGGAUAUGACUCCAUGACGCAUGUUGUGGGGUGGAAAGCCUUGUGCGGCUGAGGAUGGGCCCGCGGCCUAUCAGCUUGUUGGUGGGGUGAUGGCCUACCAAGGCGACGACGGGUAGCCGGCCUGAGAGGGCGACCGGCCACACUGGGACUGAGACACGGCCCAGACUCCUACGGGAGGCAGCAGUGGGAAUCUUGCGCAAUGGGCGAAAGCCUGACGCAGCGACGCCGCGUGAGGGAUGACGGCCU